CGGUAUGCUUAACACAUGCAAGUCGAACGGUAGCAGGCCUUUCGGGCGCUGACGAGUGGCGGACGGGUGAGUAACGCGUAGGAAUCUGCCUCAUAGUGGGGGACAACGUGGGGAAACUCACGCUAAUACCGCAUACGCCCUACGGGGGAAAGCGGGGGAUCUUCGGACCUCGCGCUAUGAGAUGAGCCUGCGUUAGAUUAGCUAGUUGGUAGGGUAAAGGCCUACCAAGGCGACGAUCUAUAGCUGGUCUGAGAGGACGAUCAGCCACACUGGGACUGAGACACGGCCCAGACUCCUACGGGAGGCAGCAGUGGGGAAUAUUGGACAAUGGGCGCAAGCCUGAUCCAGCAAUACCGCGUGUGUGAAGAAGGCCCUAGGGUUGUAAAGCACUUUCAAUUGGGAGGAAAACCUACCGGUCAAUACCCGGUAGCUUGACAUUACCUUUAGAAGAAGCACCGGCUAACUCCGUGCCAGCAGCCGCGGUAAUACGGAGGGUGCAAGCGUUAAUCGGAAUUACUGGGCGUAAAGCGUGCGUAGGCGGUUCGUUAAGUCAGAUGUGAAAGCCCCGGGCUCAACCUGGGAACUGCAUUUGAAACUGGCGAACUAGAGUUGGGUAGAGGGGAGUGGAAUUUCAGGUGUAGCGGUGAAAUGCGUAGAUAUCUGAAGGAACACCAGUGGCGAAGGCGACUCCCUGGACUCAAACUGACGCUGAGGUACGAAAGCGUGGGUAGCAAACAGGAUUAGAUACCCUGGUAGUCCACGCUGUAAACGAUGUCAACUAGCCGUUGGUCCUAUUUACAGGAUUAGUGGCGCAGCUAACGCAUUAAGUUGACCGCCUGGGGAGUACGGCCGCAAGGUUAAAACUCAAAUGAAUUGACGG
rnacentral:rRNA from 1 species